CAAUAGCGUAUAUUUAAGUUGUUGCAGUUAAAAAGCUCGUAGUCGGAUUUUGGCUGAGAACGAACGGUCCGCCGUUAGGUGUGCACUGUUUGGUCUCAGCUUCCUGGUGAGGAGGUGUGCUUCACGGCCACUUAGUCACCGUGGUUACUUUGAAAAAAUUAGAGUGUUCAAAGCGGGCUUACGCUUGAAUAUAUUAGCAUGGAAUAACACCAUAGGACUCCUGUCCUAUUUCGUUGGUCUCGGGACGGGAGUAAUGAUUAAGAGGAACAGUUGGGGGCAUUCGUAUUUCAUUGUCAGAGGUGAGAUUCUUGGAUUUAUGAAAGACGAACUUCUGCGAAAGCAUUUGCCAAGGAUGUUUUCAUUGA
rnacentral:rRNA from 1 species